UUGUCUCCCCUCCCACACUACGAUGAGCCACUAUUGAAAAUAUUCGGUAAUUUUAAAAGAAUACUAAUUUUAAACAUAAUGAAAUAUUCAGUAUAAUGUUACUUAAAAUGUAACUGUUAAGCUCUGAACUUGACCUGUUUAUAUUCAAGUAUAUGGAUUCACAGAAUUAAUUAUUUAGCUAAACGAGUUAAAGCAGUCAACGACUAUGGAUGACUCUUGGGUUACCAUGUGAAGGAAAAAUAAGGAUUCCACGAUAAUGGCCGAGCUGGAAAGGUUUCGAUGCUGAUAGUGACUGCUUGAAAAAGGAAUAAUCUUGCAACUUAUCGGAAAAGGGAAAGAUAAACUAAAUUUCAACGAUAUAUCAUGUAGAAAAGCUGUUCCAAUUAAAUGAUUUUCCGAAUCGGAAAGGACUAAUUUGAUAUAAGCUGUUUGCGCUUAGUAAAUCCCUGAUGAUGUGCGUCACGAAUAUGUCGUGUAGAUGGCAUGAGAUGCUCCAGAAUUCACAAACUAUCAAUCGUAAAGAAAAGCUUCGGCUCAUUGUUAUUGGCAAGUGUCUCUUUCAACUUACAGAAGAGGCACUCUAGUGGAUGAAAGCAACGUCUAUCUUUUCUCUGCUUGAAUAGCAUUGGACAUUAAGAGAUUUCACCUCCAUGACGCGAAGAAUAAAUGCCAUUACCAGGGAAAGAAGAAUAAACCAAGUAACGGCUCUUAAGAGACGUGGCCUGAAAAAAAGAAUGGAUAUGUUACGAAUAUACGUUUGUAUUCAUUAUUGAAACUCCUGUUUUUUAUGCAAUGAUUUUUUUCAGUAAGUAAGUGUAUUAUAGCAGUACAUCAAAUUUAUUUAUCAAAAAAUACGCUCUAUGUAUGAAUGGAGGAAAACGCGCGUUUCAUUUGAAAAUAAUAAGAUUUACUUAUAAUUUAUUAGUGUAUAAUUUUAUAGUUAAUUCACAAAUUGCUUGGGCAUUAUUCAAAAGAGGUUUCGCGUCCUUCUGAAGAAAUAGAACCAGGGUCAUCUGAGAUAAUGCUGACCAGUGCUACCUUGAAUAACUGAAUAUUCGGAUAAAAUGAAAGAUUACUGUACGUUUUA